AGAUGCACCAUGUGAGGCAAUAAGAACAACAGAAGUAUGAGGCCCAUCACAAACCCAGUCUUUAAAGUGCCUGGGGCUCUGGGACUGUGACUGGAGGAUUCAAUGAAUUGACAUGAAUUGACAUUCAGUGAACGACAUGCACAGAACUCCUUGAACUGCAUCAAUGGGCAUGACAGUUUUGCUGAUGGACUUGCUGAACUGGAAGAAAAAUGAAGACAUCUGCAGGGCAUGAAGAGCAAGUUGCUCCUCUGGGUGACCCUAAGGUCUCUCCUGGGUGACUCAUUUGAAUUACAUCGGUCCUGACUUUCUCCAGUUCUUGCAUGACAUAUGGCGUGAAGUUGGAUGUGCCCUGUCCUGGUGUAAAUGUACCCUGUGGGGGUGAGCCAGGAUCCCUCUCUCCUUUGCAGUCUGCCCAUUUCACCAUAACUCUCACAACAGUGAGGUUUCUGACAAGGUUCUUCAGUCAAAGCACCAACAAAAUGAGCCACAGAGACCAUUUGGCCACCCAAAAAGUCAUGUUGUGUUUCAGCUGCCCCUUGUGAUCCAGCCCAUGCUGGGAUCCCUUGCAGGGUCCCACUCUGACCUUUCUGGCCCACCAACCCAGCACUGGCCAGCAGCCACUUCUUGUUCUUUUUUUGAUAUUUUUUCAGUUUCAAGAGCUAAUUGCCAAGAACACAACAUCCAGUGUCACAACCUCACUGCAGAGCUCUCCCCAUUCCCAGCAAACUAUUUCCUGCUGGGUUUGUUUGUUACUGGGCACAUAGGGACACUGGUGCUUGGAGGGGAAAGCUACGCAGGCAGCCAGGGCUUUGGCAUCGCUUGGGCACAUGUGCCCUGGAGAGGUCAGAACCGGGUGGAGUGGCUCUUGCCCAGCUCUGGCUCGAGGGCUGCAAAGCAGGAAUCGGCAGGACGCUUGGCAUGGCUGCACUGAGACGUGGCUUGAGGGUGGUCAAGAGAACCCUUAGACAACUCUCAGCACUCUGCUCUUGCACCUCAGGAGGUGGGAAGCACAGCGUGGCAGGGCUGAGCCAGAAAACCUUGAACGCAAAGUGUACUGUGUCCUGUGACACUGCAGAGGCCAGAAGGGGCAUUCACAAACACAUAGCAAAGAAGUGGCGGGGGACAUAGGGGACCAGUCUGGUACCUCCACCUGCUCUGAUUUAGCAGCAAACACGAACCUGGCAAAGGGCGGUGGGGUACUCUCAGGGACAUCUGUUCAGUGGCCAGGGUCCUUUGCUGUAUGAGCAACCUAGCCCAGGAGGAAGGACACCUGCAUCUCAGAAAAUCUGGUCUUUGGACCCACGCCUCUCAAAUGGCUUUAGCGAAAGACAUCCUCUCCCUGCUCUCUUACUGCAAACAUGUUAAUCCUCCUCUCCCAUCCUCUUUGUUUGCCUGGUUUGUAGAGAUUUUGAAUGGCUCAGGGCAGGGCUGUCUUUUGUUAGACAUGCACAGAGCUCAGCAAUGCUCUGAUCUGGAACAGAGCAGCAUAAAUCUGAUGGAUUAUCGUAGGAAAUGCCACAGUGAUGAAAAACUCUAUAGGAGCAGAAAGAAAAGAAAGGGCCCCAUCUGGGGAGAAAAAAACCCCACAGUCACCCUGUUGCUGCCUGGUUACAAGUGAUUCCUAAAAUUGCUGCCUCUGGAAGAGGCUGGUACAUUUGCUGAUAUUUUUUUUUUUGCCUGUUAUUUUGGAGGGGGUGUUUUCCUUUGUGUUUUCAGCUGUUUGGAAUUACAGCUCCUGUCCCUGCAUGCAGUUCCUGCUCCUGCAGCAAGCUCUGUGUGAGGCGCCUCACUGGGAACAAAAAAACACCUUCUGGGGAGGUGGCUCAGUUUCCCUAUCGUUGAAAUGACCCCUCUAUGUGUGAUUUAAAUUUGUUACUGGAAAUUGCAAUGCCAGAAUAAUUAGUUUUCUCUUGAAGACUAAUAGGUGGGCAGCAGAAUCCAGCAGGCACUGUAUGUGGUGGUGGUGGUGGGUUUUGCUAUAGGAUCAUGGACCCUUUUGUUUUUCACAUGGGGCAGAUGGAACAUGCUGUGGACUUGAGUCAGGUGGAAACAUGAUGGUUCAGAAAUCCCGGGAUUUUUCUCUGCCUGGGAUGAGGAUAUAGACAGGAAAAAAUUGCCACUGCUGGUUAUCAAGGAGGCCCUGAACUCACUGAGGUGUGGGCAGUGCCUGGCAUGGUGGAGGGAAGAUCCAGGCCCUACUCCAGUUUGUGUUUGUGGCCUCAAAGCAAAUUUUUUAUCAGCAGCAAAAGCUCAACCUGCCACUGCCUAAUCAUUCCUUUCCAUAACUUCAUUUUCUUAGAUAUCCUGAGUCUUUGUUAUGUUAGGAGGUGCUGCAAGGUGCUAUUUGACAUGCCCUUUUUGUUGUCUGGAGGAAUUUUUUUUCUACAAAAGCAUUAUUAGAUGUAAUAAAUAGUGUUAAAAUGGCUAAUGAAAGGGGGAUGUGUCUCUGCAUUGGAAAAGGUCCAAACCAAAGCACUGAGAAUGACCUGAGGACCAGCAAACAUGACCCACCAGGACAAACCAGCAGAACUGGGCUUGUUUAAUCUAGAGAAGAGAUGACUGAAGCCAGACCUGAUAACAGGUCUGUGAAAUGUCUGCAGCAGCUUUCCUGGGAAUGGUGCAAGGUGGGUUCAUCUUGCAGGGCUUAGCUCAUUAAUACAAAUCUGUAUGAAAUCACCAUCCCAGUUUGUGAUGGUCCCAGUGUAGAGACCUCCUUUGGUUAGGAGGAGUCCUAUUCCUUGUGUCUUUUAGGGAAAGGAUGUGUGAUCAGCAUCCCUGCCC